UCGGACUGCAGCCUGCAACCCGGCUGCACGAAGCUGGAAUCGCUAGUAAUCGCGGAUCAGCAUGCCGCGGUGAAUACGUUCCCGGGUCUUGUACACACCGCCCGUCACACCAUGGGAGCCGGAAAUGCCCGAAGCCUGUGACCCAACCCUUAGGGGAGGGAGCAGCCUAAGGCGGGGCCGGUAACUGGGGUGAAGUCGUAACAAGGUACC
rnacentral:rRNA from 1 species